GGUAUUUUGACCGUGCAAAGGUAGCAUAAUCAUUAGUUUUUUAAUUGAAAGCUGGAAUGAAAGGUUGGAUGAGAAAUAAGCUGUCUCUAUUUAAUUUUAUUAGAAUUUUAUUUUUAAGUAAAAAAGCUUAAAUUUUAAUAGAAGACGAGAAGACCCUAUAGAGUUUUAUUCAUUUUUUAAAUAAAAUUAAUAGUAUUUAUUAUUUUUAUUUAAAAAAUAAAUUUAGUUGGGGUGAUUGAAAAAUUUAAUAAACUUUUUUUAUAUAUAUACAUUGAUAUAUGAUUAAUUGAUCCUUAAUUUAAGAUUAGAAGAUAAAAUUACCUUAGGGAUAACAGCGUAAUUUUUUUUGAGAGUUCUAAUCGAAAAAAAAGAUUGCGACCUCGAUGUUGGAUUAAAAUAAAAUUUUGGUGUAGAAGCUAAAA
rnacentral:rRNA from 1 species